rnacentral:tRNA from 1 species
AUGCUUAUAGCUUAAUUGGAUAAAGCCUUAGAUUGCGGAUCUAUAAAAUGAAAGUUC